GUGGGGAAUAUUGGACAAUGGGGGGAACCCUGAUCCAGCCAUGCCGCGUGUGUGAAGAAGGCCUUUUGGUUGUAAAGCACUUUAAGCGAGGAGGAGGCUUACCUGGUUAAUACCUGGGAUAAGUGGACGUUACUCGCAGAAUAAGCACCGGCUAACUCUGUGCCAGCAGCCGCGGUAAUACAGAGGGUGCAAGCGUUAAUCGGAUUUACUGGGCGUAAAGCGCGCGUAGGUGGCUAAUUAAGUCAAAUGUGAAAUCCCCGAGCUUAACUUGGGAAUUGCAUUCGAUACUGGUUAGCUAGAGUGUGGGAGAGGAUGGUAGAAUUCCAGGUGUAGCGGUGAAAUGCGUAGAGAUCUGGAGGAAUACCGAUGGCGAAGGCAGCCAUCUGGCCUAACACUGACGCUGAGGUGCGAAAGCAUGGGGAGCAA
rnacentral:rRNA from 1 species